GACGAACGCUGGCGGCGUGCUUAACACAUGCAAGUCGAACGGACUCAGUCGGUGGUAACACCGGCGAAAGUUAGUGGCGAACGGGUGCGUAACACGUGAGCAACCUACCCUAGAGACUGGGAUAACACCGGGAAACCGGUGCUAAUACCGGAUACCCCCAUUCCACCGCAUGAUGGAGUGAGGAAAUGUUUUUUCGCUCUUGGAGGGGCUCGCGGCCUAUCAGCUUGUUGGUGAGGUAACGGCUCACCAAGGCUUCGACGGGUAGCUGGUCUGAGAGGACGACCAGCCACACUGGGACUGAGACACGGCCCAGACUCCUACGGGAGGCAGCAGUGGGGAAUAUUGCGCAAUGGGCGAAAGCCUGACGCAGCAACGCCGCGUGGAGGAUGAAGGCUCUCGGGUUGUAAACUCCUUUCAGCAGGGAAGAAAUUGACGGUACCUGCAGAAGAAGCACCGGCCAACUACGUGCCAGCAGCCGCGGUAAUACGUAGGGUGCAAGCGUUGUCCGGAUUCAUUGGGCGUAAAGAGCUCGUAGGCGGCUUGGCAAGUCAGAUGUGAACCCUCAGGCUCAACCUGGGGAUGCCAUCUGAUACUGCUAUGGCUAGAGUAUGGGUAGGGGACUACGGAAUUCCUGGUGUAGCGGUGAAAUGCGCAGAUAUCAGAGGAACACCAGUGGCGAAAGGCGGUAGUCUGGGCCAUUACUGACGCUGAGGAGCGAAAGCGUGGGGAGCGAACAGGAUUAGAUACCCUGGUAGUCCACGCCGUAAACGUUGGGCACUAGUGGUGGGGGUCUAUUUCGACGGACUCCGUGCCGUAGCUAACGCAUUAAGUGCCCGCCUGGG
rnacentral:rRNA from 1 species